ACAGAAUCCAGUCAGAUGGAAGCAAGACGCCAGAGCCGGAUUUCUGUACAUUCAUUUGCACAGUACUGUACAACAAGUUUCCUUUGCUGAGUUCCUUGGUCAGGGGUUUAAACACAUUUUCUGUCCAGUACUGCAGUUGGAAUUUUCCAUCAACUUUUUAUGACAACCGAUGUCCAUCUCAAAAGAGCGUCUAUUCUUCAAGCUCUCUUUACUUACCUUGGUGAGGAUGAGGCAUGCCUGGUGAAAGAAUACAUGG
ensembl:processed_transcript